UCAGGAUGAACGCUGGCGGCGUGCCUAACACAUGCAAGUCGAACGAGGUUACUCAGAUUGGAGAUUCGUCAAAGAUCUUUUAACCGAGUGGCGGAUGGGUGAGUAACGCGUGGAGAACCUGCCCUUAUCAGGGGGAUAACAACUGGAAACGGUUGACAAUACCGCAUACGCUCAUGAGAUCGCAUGAUCUUGUGAGGAAAGAUUUAUCGGAUAAGGAUGGCUCCGCGUCGGAUUAGCCAGUUGGCGGGGUAACGGCCCACCAAAGCGACGAUCCGUAGCCGGCCUGAGAGGGCGACCGGCCACAUUGGGACUGAGACACGGCCCAGACUCCUACGGGAGGCAGCAGUGGGGGAUAUUGCACAAUGGGGGGAACCCUGAUGCAGCGACGCCGCGUGGAGGAAGAAGUAUUUCGGUAUGUAAACUCCUAUCAGCAGGGAAGAAAAUGACGGUACCUGACUAAGAAGCCCCGGCUAACUACGUGCCAGCAGCCGC
rnacentral:rRNA from 1 species